AUCUAGCCCCGAUAGAAGUGGUAUCCUUUUUCUCCCUUCUUUAGGGAGGAAAAGAUACAAGCGGAUAGCGGGACAAAAC
rnacentral:sRNA from 1 species